rnacentral:rRNA from 1 species
GAUUAGCUAGUUGGUGGGGUAAAGGCCUACCAAGGCGACGAUCCAUAGCUGGUCUGAGAGGAUGAUCAGCCACAUUGGGACUGAGACACGGCCCAAACUCCUACGGGAGGCAGCAGUGGGGAAUAUUGGACAAUGGGCGCAAGCCUGAUCCAGCCAUGCCGCGUGAGUGAUGAAGGCCUUAGGGUUGUAAAGCUCUUUCACCGGAGAAGAUAAUGACGGUAUCCGGAGAAGAAGCCCCGGCUAACUUCGUGCCAGCAGCCGCGGUAAUACGAAGGGGGCUAGCGUUGUUCGGAAUUACUGGGCGUAAAGCGCACGUAGGCGGAUAUUUAAGUCAGGGGUGAAAUCCCAGAGCUCAACUCUGGAACUGCCUUUGAUACUGGGUAUCUUGAGUAUGGAAGAGGUAAGUGGAAUUCCGAGUGUAGAGGUGAAAUUCGUAGAUAUUCGGAGGAACACCAGUGGCGAAGGCGGCUUACUGGUCCA